rnacentral:lncRNA from 1 species
AUGACAAGAAAGCAAAUUGACCUUGCAUACAUAAAAAAUGAUGUUGCAAGAAAAACCACCUUCAAGAAAAGGAAGAGCGGACUGAUGAAAAAGGUAAGUGAACUCAGUAUUCUAUGUGGAACUGAUGCAUGUGCAGUAAUUUAUGGUCAGCAUCAAGCCAACCCUGAUGUUAGUCCAUGCCCUGAUGGAGCCCUACGAACAAUCACAAGGUUUAAGCAGAUGUCCAAGAUGGAAAGGAGUAGGAACAUCCUGAAUCAAGAAAGUUUUCUUAGGCAAACGAUAUUUAAAGCUGAUGAGAAAUUGAAGAAACAGAUGAGUGACAACCAAGAGAAGGAAAUGAUGAUUCAAGCCAUUUACGGGAGCCUUCCAGCUGACUGGUUGCAAAAAUUGAGUCAUGUGGAUUUGAAUGACUUGUGGUUGUCAGUGGAGAAGAAUAUAGAGGCAAUUGCAGAAAUGAUGACCUCACUGGAAAAACCAUGA